UGGGGAAUAUUGCGCAAUGGGGGGAACCCUGACGCAGCCAUGCCGCGUGAAUGAAGAAGGCCUUAGGGUUGUAAAGUUCUUUCGGUAUUGAGGAAGGUUGAUGUGUUAAUAGCACAUCAAAUUGACGUUAAAUACAGAAGAAGCACCGGCUAACUCCGUGCCAGCAGCCGCGGUAAUACGGAGGGUGCGAGCGUUAAUCGGAAUAACUGGGCGUAAAGGGCACGCAGGCGGUUAUUUAAGUGAGGUGUGAAAGCCCCGGGCUUAACCUAGGAAUUGCAUUUCAGACUGGGUAACUAGAGUACUUUAGGGAGGGGUAGAAUUCCACGUGUAGCGGUGAAAUGCGUAGAGAUGUGGAGGAAUACCGAAGGCGAAGGCAGCCCCUUGGGAAUGUACUGACGCUCAUGUGCGAAAGCGUGGGGAGCAAACAGGAUUAGAUACCCUGGUAGUCCACGCUGUAAACGCUGUCGAUUUGGGGGUUGGGGUUUAACUUUGGCGCCCGUAGCUAACGUGAUAAAUCGACCGCCUGGGGAGUACGGCCGCAAGGUUA
rnacentral:rRNA from 1 species